AACGAACGCUGGCGGCAGGCCUAACACAUGCCAGUCGAGCGAGGACUUCGGUUCUAGCGGCGGACGGGUGAGUAACGCGUGGGAAUGUGCCCUUCUCUACGGAAUAGCCCUGGGAAACUGGGAGUAAUACCGUAUACGCCCUUUUGGGGAAAGAUUUAUCGGAGAAGGAUCAGCCCGCGUUGGAUUAGGUAGUUGGUGGGGUAAUGGCCUACCAAGCCGACGAUCCAUAGCUGGUUUGAGAGGAUGAUCAGCCACACUGGGACUGAGACACGGCCCAGACUCCUACGGGAGGCAGCAGUGGGGAAUCUUAGACAAUGGGGGCAACCCUGAUCUAGCCAUGCCGCGUGAGUGAUGAAGGCCUUAGGGUUGUAAAGCUCUUUCAGCUGGGAAGAUAAUGACGGUACCAGCAGAAGAAGCCCCGGCUAACUCCG
rnacentral:rRNA from 1 species